rnacentral:rRNA from 1 species
GGAUCCAGACUUUGAUCAUGGCUCAGGAUGAACGCUAGCUACAGGCUUAACACAUGCAAGUCGAGGGGAAACGAUAGAGAAAGCUUGCUUUUUCUAGGCGUCGACCGGCGCACGGGUGAGUAACGCGUAUCCAACCUGCCCAUCACUUGGGGAUAACCUUGCGAAAGUAAGACUAAUACCCAAUGAUAUCUCAAGAAGACAUCUGAAUGAGAUUAAAGAUUUAUCGGUGAUGGAUGGGGAUGCGUCUGAUUAGCUUGUUGGCGGGGUAACGGCCCACCAAGGCGACGAUCAGUAGGGGUUCUGAGAGGAAGGUCCCCCACAUUGGAACUGAGACACGGUCCAAACUCCUACGGGAGGCAGCAGUGAGGAAUAUUGGUCAAUGGGCGAGAGCCUGAACCAGCCAAGUAGCGUGCAGGAAGACGGCCCUAUGGGUUGUAAACUGCUUUUAUAAGGGAAUAAAGUGAGUCUCGUGAGACUUUUUGCAUGUACCUUAUGAAUAAGGACCGGCUAAUUCCGUGCCAGCAGCCGCGGUAAUACGGAAGGUCCGGGCGUUAUCCGGAUUUAUUGGGUUUAAAGGGAGCGUAGGCCGGAGAUUAAGCGUGUUGUGAAAUGUAGAUGCUCAACAUCUGCACUGCAGCGCGAACUGGUUUCCUUAAGUACGCACAAAGUGGGCGGAAUUCGUGGUGUAGCGGUGAAAUGCUUAGAUAUCACGAAGAACUCCGAUUGCGAAGGCAGCUCACUGGAGCGCAACUGACGCUGAAGCUCGAAAGUGCGGGUAUCGAACAGGAUUAGAUACCCUGGUAGUCCGCACGGUAAACGAUGGAUGCCCGCUGUUGGUCUGAAUAGGUCAGCGGCCAAGCGAAAGCAUUAAGCAUCCCACCUGGGGAGUACGCCGGCAACGGUGCAACUCAA